rnacentral:sRNA from 1 species
UUUUUUAUUUUUUACUUAGAAGAGUCAACUGAAAUGAUACAUGGGAAAAUUUUACCAAUGAAAUGCCUUUGUGUUCAUCUGACUUAAGCCACAAAGAGGUUGUCAAGUGAUGUCUACACACAAAGCCCAUGGACGGUAUAAAUCACAGUAAUUAAUAAAGCAGAGAAAUUUCCCUCCUGAUUUCGGAUGUGGAUACAGUUUUUAUCAAAGUCGAAAGUUAGGAUUCAACAUUGUCUGUCAGAAGCGAUACCAAUGGGAUCAAAUUUCCCUUGCGUGAAGAUAACGUACCAAUGAAACUAAAUAUAAGUUUUCCGGCCUUAGUAACCACUACUACUGCUCGGGAUCCAUUGUCACCUACACAGUCAUUGUACAGUUUGUUUCUCUGUGGAACCACGAUAAUGCAAAAUAUUUGUUCUAUUUUAAAAUGGCACAGUACAUAGUAACAAGUAAAUCGUCAAAAGAAGUACUACAGAAGAGGUACAUAUACCUAUCUCUGUAAUUCGAUCAACUGAUGAACCUCCUUCUCUGAAACUAUUAUACUCUUCUCUUUAUACAUGAAUCGUGAUGAAGAAGAUCACCACCCUUUGUUACUGUUAUGUCCCAUACUUGUCAGGAUCGAAUCCAUUGUUUUUUUCCAUAGAUAUUAUAAAGUGUCAUAUUGGUCUGACCAUCAGUCAAUGUUUCCAUAUCACAUACAUCAGUUUUGUAUAAAGGUUCAUUAACUUUUUUAUAAAGGUUCAUUAACUGUGUUUAAAGCAGAGAUAAGUUUUGUUGAAUUAAGAAUUUUUCUGUCUGGAGAGAAGGAUUUCAUUUGAAGAGACUCUUUUUUCUUGUUUGUGUUAAAAAUUCAUUUUGAAAGACUCUUUUUCUCUUCCUUUUUAAUGGAAUAUUCUGAUAACGUACCAAAUUGUUUUCGGAAUUGUUCUGUGUCAAUCUUCUGCGAAGGGAAAGUUGAUAUCCUUAUAAUGACUUCGGGGGGGAAUUUUCUGAGCUCUGCAUUCAUAGAUUUGUAUGAAGAGAUCAUGUAGACAUCGUUGUUGUUAAGUAAUAACUCAAGAUCUGACAUGUGUUGUCUAAUUUGAGAAAGCUGUUGGUUGAUUUCACCUUCCUGUUUAUCUAGGGCAUGCAUGCAUUUAGUUUUCAUGGUAUUAACUUUUGUUUUUUCCCUCUUUGUUACUGUGUCUAUUUCCUUGUGCCAGUCUUCUCCAAGUUUGCUGAUUAUAUUCAAUAACUUUUCAGAUUUUUCAUCAAGCGAAGUUUUCUGAGCUUUGAUACUAUCUGCCAUUUCCUGAUAUUUACAGAAAAUGGAUUUCUCUAAUUCCUGGAUAUCACUUUGUAAAGUUUCUUUUUUGCUUUGGAACAUUUUCAUUAUAUCUUCGGCCUUGUGUUCAGAAUGUUCUUCCGAAUAUACACACCGUGUACAAAUUGGAAUGUCACAUUUUUCACAGUGGAGUUCACAUUGUUUUGUGCUGUGUUUUGGACAUGUGGGAUAAUGAAAAGUGGAUCGUCGAUGUUUGAUUGGCAUCACUGUGUGUAUUUUGGAUUCGUCCAAGAGAUGUUCCCCAGCACAAGUUUUACAUAGAUCGAUGUGGCAGAGAGCACAAUACAGUUCUGGAUUAGGAUUCUCGCACAACUUACAUCGUACGACAUCCUGAGGAUUGAGAAGAUUCGCCAUGAUCAGAGGCCUUCUUCGUGAAACUGAAAUAGAUUGACAAAUCAUCUUAGGUUAUCUUUCUUCAAAAAUAUUUCUAUGCGCUCAAUCAAUUAUUAUCUUUAGAAAUUAUUUUAGGAAAACAAAUGCAUAAUUAGCAUACGAAUGAUUCUAUAUCAAACUAACCUUAACAAUCCAAUAUUGCGAUUCCAAAUACUAGGUCCUUGUCUGUCAUCUCGUGAGUUAACUUACUUUAAAUAUUAGGAAUACUUGUGUUAAUGUAAAUAACUACUGCAUAUACAUUAAAGUGGCAUGGACUCGAUAUAAAGAACUGGGUUUUUUUUUUACCUUCUUAAAAUUUACUUAACGAAUUUUGUGUAAACGCUACCAAAUUUUAAAUGUUAGUCUAGACAGAGAGCUAAUUUUUUCUAUUCAUAUGUAAACAUGGUUUAUGUCAUUAUUUAAAAUGCAUGGGUUGAAUCAAAUUAUAAGAUAAACUUCUGUUUCAAACAC